rnacentral:rRNA from 1 species
CUACGGGGGGCACCAGUGGGGAAUAUUGCACAAUGGGCGCAAGCCUGAUGCAGCCAUGCCGCGUGUAUGAUGAAGGCCUUCGGGUUGUAAAGUACUUUCAGCGGGGAGGAAGGGAGUAAAGUUAAUACCUUUGCUCAUUGACGUUACCCGCAGAAGAAGCACCGGCUAACUCCGUGCCAGCAGCCGCGGUGAAUACGGAGGGUGCAAGCGUUAAUCGGAAUUACUGGGCGUAAAGCGCACGCAGGCGGUUUGUUAAGUCAGAUGUGAAAUCCCCGGGCUCAACCUGGGAACUGCAUCUGAUACUGGCAAGCUGGAGUCUCGUAGAGGGGGGUAGAAUUCCAGGUGUAGCGGUGAAAUGCGUAGAGAUCUGGAGGAAUACCGGUGGCGAAGGCGGCCCCCUGGACGAAGACUGACGCUCAGGUGCGAAAGCGUGGGGAGCAAACAGGAUUAGAUACCCGUGUAGUC